UCGCCCUUAGAGUUUGAUCCUGGCUCAGGAUGAACGCUAGCUACAGGCUUAACACAUGCAAGUCGAGGGGAAACGAUAUUGGAAGCUUGCUUCCGAUAGGCGUCGACCGGCGCACGGGUGAGUAACGCGUAUCCAACCUGCCCACCACUUGGGGAUAACCUUGCGAAAGUAAGACUAAUACCCAAUGAUAUCUCAAGAAGACAUCUGAAUGAGAUUAAAGAUUUAUCGGUGAUGGAUGGGGAUGCGUCUGAUUAGCUUGUUGGCGGGGUAACGGCCCACCAAGGCGACGAUCAGUAGGGGUUCUGAGAGGAAGGUCCCCCACAUUGGAACUGAGACACGGUCCAAACUCCUACGGGAGGCAGCAGUGAGGAAUAUUGGUCAAUGGGCGAGAGCCUGAACCAGCCAAGUAGCGUGCAGGAUGACGGCCCUAUGGGUUGUAAACUGCUUUUAUAAGGGAAUAAAGUGAGUCUCGUGAGGCUUUUUGCAUGUACCUUAUGAAUAAGGACCGGCUAAUUCCGUGCCAGCAGCCGCGGUAAUACGGAAGGUCCGGGCGUUAUCCGGAUUUAUUGGGUUUAAAGGGAGCGUAGGCCGGAGAUUAAGCGUGUUGUGAAAUGUAGAUGCUCAACAUCUGCACUGCAGCGCGAACUGGUUUCCUUGAGUACGCACAAAGUGGGCGGAAUUCGUGGUGUAGCGGUGAAAUGCUUAGAUAUCACGAAGAACUCCGAUUGCGAAGGCAGCUCACUGGAGCGCAACUGACGCUGAAGCUCGAAAGUGCGGGUAUCGAACAGGAUUAGAUACCCUGGUAGUCCGCACGGUAAACGAUGGAUGCCCGCUGUUGGUCUGAAUAGGUCAGCGGCCAAGCG
rnacentral:rRNA from 1 species